ACGGAAGGCAGCAGUGAGGAAUAUUGGUCAAUGGGCGCGAGCCUGAACCAGCCAAGUAGCGUGAGGGAAGACUGCCCUAUGGGUUGUAAACCUCUUUUGUAUGGGAAUAAAGGGAGCCACGCGUGGCUCGUUGCAUGUACCUUACGAAUAAGCAUCGGCUAAUUCCGUGCCAGCAGCCGCGGUAAUACGGAAGAUGCGAGCGUUAUCCGGAUUUAUUGGGUUUAAAGGGAGCGUAGGCGGCCUUUUAAGUCAGCGGUUAAAUGUCAGCGCCCAACGUUGGCAUGCCGUUGAAACUGGAGGGCUUGAAUACACACAAGGUAAGUGGAAUUCGUCGUGUAGCGGUGAAAUGCUUAGAUAUGACGAAGAACUCCGAUUGCGAAGGCAGCUUACUGGGGUGCGAUUGACGCUGAGGCUCGAAAGUGCGGGAAUCAAACAGGAUUAGAUACCCUGGUA
rnacentral:rRNA from 1 species